UUAAAAUAUAGAAAAUGCUCUUACUACUGAGCUAUUUGAUUUAAUAUCAAAAUGAUCUCUACGUUUAGUCAUGUCAAUGUUAUUAAAUAAGUAUAUAAAAGCUAACUAGUUUUUAAAGUAAAAAAAUGUCAAUGAUCAUCUCGCGAUUGACAAAAAUCAAAGUGUCAAACAAAUCGGAAGGUCAACAUACUAUCUACAUUUUAAUCACGUUUAGUGUUGAUUUGGUUGGCUGCACAAGAAAUUAAUUUUGAUAUAAGAAAUCCUAUAAUAUACAUAUUAUUAUCACCUUAAUCAUCAGAAUUUAUAAUUUUUGAAGUAUAUAGACCAAUAAUAUAUGUAUCAAUUUUCUUUUAACAAUAGAUAUGCAUAGUUUUGUUGUUUAAUUUCAUGGUGGAAAUCAAAAAAUUGACUUUUGAGGUGGUUAGUCAAUGCAUAUGAUGAGGUAAUGCAUGCCGAAUAUAAGCUGUAGUAGAUAUGUAUCGAGAAUUUUAAACUAGAAAACAUAACAAUUACACGUGUAAGGCUUUGCAAGUUCACACGAGAAAGUUCUACAGAAAUGGACCUACUAUUUUUUUCUAUCUAAUUGAGAGUUUGCGGCGUCUUGGUAUAAUUAGUUUCUUUCAUAGUAUAUGUUUUGCAUUUUACAUGCACUACUAAUUAAUUUAUGUUAGAUUAGUUUAAAGUCAAAAUUUAUUACCAAUAAUAUAAAAUAUAAGAAAAAAAUAUUUUAUUUCAAUGAUGUUGGAAUUCGAUAAAAAUAGAUAGAUGAGGUGAUACAUAAAAUUUGAGCAAGAUUGAAGGUGAUUUGAUAUCAAAAUUCAUAGUUUAAAUUGAAUUUUAAAAAAAUUUCUAAGACACAUGUAUUAAACAUAUGUCACGCAUGUAUCUCACAUAUAAGUAUACAUAAAUAUACAUAUGAUAAAUACACAAAAAUAUGUAAUGUCUACCAAAUCGUAUUUCCAAAAGGAAUUUUUACAUUCAUAUACCAUGUGGGAAACUAUAUUACUCUCAAUGUUUAAGGUUUGGUAUACUUACAUUUAGUAUACCUAAUUACCAAUUAUAUACCAUUUAGUGAUUUUUAAGGGUAUUAAUUACACUCCUAAUUUAAUGGUACCGCAUAUUCCAUCUAAUACCACUUCCCCACGUUUUUCUCUCCAAUUCCCACAUCUUCACCCACGUUUUCCUCCUAAAUGCACGAUUUCUGUACCAAAUCCCAUUAUUUCUUCCAUAGCCAAGACUUUGAAUUCGAAUUUGGGUUUUCAAAAGACAUUGUUUGUUUGGAUUGAAUGUUGUUGCAAAGAUUUAAGAAUUCUCUCUACGUCUCUCUCUAUCUUGCAAUCCCAAAUUUCAGUAAUAUAAAAUAAAAGGAAAAGAGAGUAGCAAUUCCACUAUUGGAGGAGGAGGAGGACGACGACGACGACAACGACGAUUGCAGAAAUUGUUGAUAAAAUGUAGAUAAAUUGUAGACUGUUAUUUAUUUGUUUUUCAACUUUGUGUUUUUGUGUUAAAAGUGUUGAUGGGAG
rnacentral:lncRNA from 1 species